UACGUAGGGGGCAAGCGUUGUCCGGAAUUACUGGGUGUAAAGGGUGUGCAGGCGUCUUGCUAAGUUGGGUGUGAAAUCCCGGAGCUCAACUCCGGAGCGGCAUCCAAUACUGACAAGAUCGAGGUUAUGAGAGGGAAGCGGAACUCCCGGUGUAGCGGUGAAAUGCGUAGAGAUCGGGAAGAACACCAGAGGCGAAGGCGGCUUCCUAACAUAAUACUGACGCUCAGACACGAAAGCUAGGGGAGCAAACAGGAUUAGAUACC
rnacentral:rRNA from 1 species